rnacentral:ncRNA from 2 species
UCUGGUGCUAAUACAUGCGAUUGUUUCUCCAGAUGUGAAUUAUGGAGAAAAAGUUGACCUCAUCAGAGGCACGCCAUUCGACUGAGUGACCUAUCAGCUUGUACUUAGGGUCUUUACCUAGGUAGGCUAUCACGGGUAACGGGCGGUUACCGUCGGACUGCCGGAGAAGGCGCCUGAGAGAUAGCGACUAUAUCCACGGGUAGCAGCAGGCGCGAAACUUUCCCACUCGAGACUUUCGGAGGAGGUAAUGACCAGUUCCAUUGGUGCCUUUUGGUACUGUGGAUAGGGGUACGGUUUUCCACCGUACCGAAACCUAGCAGAGGGCCAGUCUGGUGCCAGCAGCUGCGGUAAUUCCAGCUCUGCGAGUUUGCUCCCAUAUUGUUGCAGUUAAAACGCCCGUAGUCUGAAUUGGCCAGCAAUGGUCGUACGUAUUUUUACGUUCACUGUGAACAAAUCAGGACGCUUAGAGUAUGGCCACAUGAAUGACUCAGCGCAGUAUGAAGUCUUUGUUUUCUUCCGAAAACAAGCUCAAUGAGAGCCAUCGGGGGUAGAUCUAUCUCAUGACGAGUGGUGGAAUACUUUGACUCAUGAGAGAGAAGCUGAGGCGAAGGCGUCUACCUAGAGGGUUUCUGUCGAUCAAGGGCGAGAGUAGGAGUAUCCAACAGGAUUAGAGACCCUGGUAGUUCCUACCUUAAACGAUGCCGACAGGAGUUUGUCAUUUGUUAAUGGCAGAAUCUUUGGAGAAAUCAUAGUUCUUGGGCUCUGGGGGAACUACGACCGCAAGGCUGAAACUUGAAGGAAUUGACGGAAGGGCACACCAGGGGUGGAGCCUGUGGCUUAAUUUGAAUCAACACGGGGAAACUUACCAGGACCAGAUGUUUUUUAUGACUGACAGGCUUCGGGUCUUUCCAGGAUAUUGUUUUUGGUGGUGCAUGGCCGUUGGUGGUGCGUGGGUUGACC